rnacentral:rRNA from 1 species
GAUGAACGCUAGCUACGGGCUUAACACAUGCAAGUCGAGGGGAAACGAUAUUGGAAGCUUGCUUCCGAUAGGCGUCGACCGGCGCACGGGUUAGUAACGCGUAUCCAACCUGCCCAUCACUUGGGGAUAACCUUGCGAAAGUAAGAAUAAUACCCAAUGACGUCUCUAGAAGACAUCUGAAAGAGAUUAAAGAUUUAUCGGUGAAGGAUGGGGAUGCGUCUGCUUAGCUUGUUGGCGGGGGAACGGCCCACCAAGGCGACGAUCAGUAGGGGUUCUGAGAGGAAGGUCCCCCACAUUGGAACUGAGACACGGUCCAAACUCCUACGGGAGGCAGCAGUGAGGAAUAUUGGUCAAUGGACGAGAGUCUGAACCAGCCAAGUAGCGUGCAGGAUGACGGCCCUAUGGGUUGUAAACUGCUUUUAUAAGGGAAUAAAGUGAGAGUCGUGACUCUUUUUGCAUGUACCUUAUGAAUAAGGACCGGCUAAUUCCGUGCCAGCCGCCGCGGUAA